ACGAAAUAGAAUUUGUGUUUACAUUGUUAAAGCUCGAAGUAUAUGACACAUUUCAUCAUCAAAAUCCUUUUUUGAUGAUUCUGCAGCUUCCCGUCCGGUGUGUGGACAAUGCGGAUGGAUUUCCUCGUUUGAUCGUCUACGGUGAUGAAACAUUCGAAAGUGAUGCGGUGCAGCAGCAUGCUACUGGAGAAGGCCCCUACAGUACUGUGUGACCUUUCCAAUCUGGACGCUGCUGGUUCGAGUGCCGGGUUGGACAGAAUGUAGACGAGUACUAGUAGUACAAGUACCCCAAGGUGCCUCCCAUGGCGUGGCCAACAGUGUUUGAAUGGCAGCUUCAAUGAGCAGGUGGCCCUUGUAUGGCAGCCCCUGCCUCUGCAUGUUACUUGUUUCAUUUCAAACCUUUAUUUAUGCAGGUGAAUCCCAUUGAGAUCAUUGAUCUCUUUUUCAAAGGUGACCUGCUGCAAGUAGUGCUUGUUAGGCCUUCACGUGUACAACUGUGCAUAUCACCAUUCAAACAGGAAACACAUGGAAAAUGUUGAUAAUUCAAGAGUUAUAAUUUAUUUUGUAUAUUGAUUGUUGUGCUUUUAUUUAGGUCUAAUGUGUACAUAUAAAUGUGUCUUU